rnacentral:rRNA from 1 species
ACGGCUCAGUAACACGUCGGUAACCUACCCUCGGGAGGGGGAUAACCCCGGGAAACUGGGGCUAAUUCCCCAUAGGCCUGAGGUACUGGAAGGUCCUCAGGCCGAAAGGGACCUAUGUCCGCCCGAGGAUGGGCCGGCGGCCGAUUAGGUAGUUGGUGGGGUAAUGGCCCACCAAGCCGAAGAUCGGUACGGGCUGUGAGAGCAGGAGCCCGGAGAUGGACACUGAGACACGGGUCCAGGCCCUACGGGGCGCAGCAGGCGCGAAACCUCCGCAAUGCGGGAAACCGCGACGGGGGGACCCCGAGUGCCGUGGCAACGCCACGGCUUUUCCGGAGUGUAAAAAGCUCCGGGAAUAAGGGCUGGGCAAGGCCGGUGGCAGCCGCCGCGGUAAUACCGGCGGCCCGAGUGGUGGCCGCUAUUAUUGGGCCUAAAGCGUCCGUAGCCGGGCCCGUAAGUCCCUGGCGAAAUCCCACGGCUCAACCGUGGGGCUUGCUGGGGAUACUGCGGGUCUUGGGACCGGGAGAGGCGGGGGGUACCCCUGGGGUAGGGGUGAAAUCCUAUAAUCCCAGGGGGACCGCCAGUGGCGAAGGCGCCCCGCUGGAACGGGUCCGACGGUGAGGGACGAAGGCCAGGGGAGCAAACCGGAUUAGAUACCCGGGUAGUCCUGGCUGUAAAGGAUGCGGGCUAGGUGUCGGGUGAGCCUCGAGCUCGCCCGGUGCCGUAGGGAAGCCGUUAAGCCCGCCGCCUGGGGAGUACGGCCGCAGGCUGAAACUUAAAGGAAUUGGCGGGGGAG